rnacentral:lncRNA from 1 species
CAGCUUUUAUUUUUUUCAUCACAUUCCCAGUGGGUCAGAAGUUUGCAUACACUCAAUUAGUAUUUGGUAGCAUCGCCUUUAAAUUGUUUAACUUGGGUCAAACGUUUGGGAUAGCCUUCUCACAAGCUUCCCACAAUAAGUUGUGUGAAUUUGGGCCCAUUCCUCCUGACAGAGCUGCAGUAACUGAGUCCGGUUUGUAGGCAUCCUUGCUCGCACACGCUUUUUCAGUUCUGCCCACACAUUUUCUAUGGGAUUGAGGUUAAGGCUUUGUGAUGGCAACUCCAGUACCUUGACUUUGUUGUCCUUAACCCAUUUUGCCACAACUCUGGAAGUAUGCUUGGGGUUGUUUACGGUUGUCCAUUUGGAAGACCCAUUUGCGACCAAGCUUUAACUUCUUGACUGAUGUCUUGAGAUGUUGCUUCCCCUUUUUCCUCCCUUUUUCCUACAAACAUAACGAUGGUCAUUAUGGCCGAACAGUUCUAUUUUUGUUUCCUCAGACCAAAGGACAUUUCUCCAAAAAGUAUGAUCUUUGUCCCCAUGUGCAGUUGCAAACCGUAGUCUGGCUUUUUUAUGGUGGUUUUGGAGCAGUGGUUUCUUCCUUGCUGAGCAGCCUUUCAGGUUAUGUCGAUAUAGGACUGUUAUUACUGUGGUCCUUUGCUGUUGUUCUGGGAUUGAUUUUCACUUUUUGCACCAAAGUAUGUUCAUCUCUAGGAGACAGAAUGCGUCUCCUUCCUGAGUGGUAUGACUGCUGCCUGGUCCCAUCAUGUUUAUACUUGCGUACUAUUGUUUGUACAGAUGAACGUGGUACAUUCAAGCGGUUGGAAAUUGCUCCAAAGGAUGAACCAGAUUUGUGGAGAUCUACAAUGUUUUGGUUGAUUUCUUUUGAUUUUCCCAUGAUGUCAAGCAAAGAGGCAUUGCGUUUUACGGUAGGCCUUGAAAUACAUCCACAGGUACACCUCCAAUUGACUCAAAUGAUGUCAAUUAGCCUAUCAGAAGCUUCUAAAGCCAUGACAUCAUUUUCUGGAAUUUUUCAAGCUGUUUAAAGGCACAGUCAACUUAGUGUACGUAAACUUCUGACCCAC